rnacentral:rRNA from 1 species
UAAUGUUGAAAAAUUAGCGGAUGACCUGUGGCUGGGGGUGAAAGGCCAAUCAAACCGGGAGAUAGCUGGUUCUCCCCGAAAGCUAUUUAGGUAGCGCCUCGUGAAUUCAUCUCCGGGGGUAGAGCACUGUUUCGGCUAGGGGGCCAUCCCGGCUUACCAACCCGAUGCAAACUGCGAAUACCGGAGAAUGUUAUCACGGGAGACACACGGCGGGUGCUAACGUCCGUCGUGAAGAGGGAAACAACCCAGACCGCCAGCUAAGGUCCCAAAGUCAUGGUUAAGUGGGAAACGAUGUGGGAAGGCCCAGACAGCCAGGAUGUUGGCUUAGAAGCAGCCAUCAUUUAAAGAAAGCGUAAUAGCUCACUGGUCGAGUCGGCCUGCGCGGAAGAUGUAACGGGGCUAAACCAUGCACCGAAGCUGCGGCAGCGACGCUGAUGCGUUGUUGGGUAGGGGAGCGUUCUGUAAGCCUGCGAAGGUGGCCUGUGAGGGUUGCUGGAGGUAUCAGAAGUGCGAAUGCUGACAUAAGUAACGAUAAAGCGGGUGAAAAGCCCGCUCGCCGGAAGACCAAGGGUUCCUGUCCAACGUUAAUCGGGGCAGGGUGAGUCGACCCCUAAGGCGAGGCCGAAAGGCGUAGUCGAUGGGAAACGGGUUAAUAUUCCCGUACUUGGUGUUACUGCGAAGGGGGGACGGAGAAGGCUAUGUUGGCCGGGCGACGGUU